ACCGAAACGACCCUCCUAAUUCGAUCAUGACGUACUUGUACUGAUUGAGAUUUUAACACGAAGUGAGUGGCGAACGGGUGAGUAACACGUGGGUAACCUGCCCAGAAGUAGGGGAUAACACCUGGAAACAGAUGCUAAUACCGUAUAACAGAGAAAACCGCAUGGUUUUCUUUUAAAAGAUGGCUCUGCUAUCACUUCUGGAUGGACCCGCGGCGUAUUAGCUAGUUGGUGAGGUAAAGGCUCACCAAGGCAGUGAUACGUAGCCGACCUGAGAGGGUAAUCGGCCACAUUGGGACUGAGACACGGCCCAGACUCCUACGGGAGGCAGCAGUAGGGAAUCUUCCACAAUGGACGCAAGUCUGAUGGAGCAACGCCGCGUGAGUGAAGAAGGGUUUCGGCUCGUAAAGCUCUGUUGUUAAAGAAGAACGUGGGUAAGAGUAACUGUUUACCCAGUGACGGUAUUUAACCAGAAAGCCACGGCUAACUACGUGCCAGCAGCCGCGGUAAUACGUAGGUGGCAAGCGUUAUCCGGAUUUAUUGGGCGUAAAGCGAGCGCAGGCGGUCUUUUAAGUCUAAUGUGAAAGCCUUCGGCUCAACCGAAGAAGUGCAUUGGAAACUGGGAGACUUGAGUGCAGAAGAGGACAGUGGAACUCCAUGUGUAGCGGUGAAAUGCGUAGAUAUAUGGAAGAACACCAGUGGCGAAGGCGGCUGUCUGGUCUGCAACUGACGCUGAGGCUCGAAAGCAUGGGUAGCGAACAGGAUUAGAUACCCUGGUAGUCCAUGCCGUAAACGAUGAUUACUAAGUGUUGGAGGGUUUCCGCCCUUCAGUGCUGCAGCUAACGCAUUAAGUAAUCCGCCUGGGGAGUACGACCGCAAGGUUGAAACUCAAAAGAAUUGACGGGGGCCCGCACAAGCGGUGGAGCAUGUGGUUUAAUUCGAAGCUACGCGAAGAACCUUACCAGGUCUUGACAUCUUUCUGACAGUCUAAGAGAUUAGAGGUUCCCUUUCGGGGAAAGAAUGACAGUGGUGCAUGGAUGUCGUCAGCUCGUGUCGUGAGAUGUUGGGUUAAGUCCCGCAACGAGCGCAACCCUUAUUACUAGUUGCCAGCAUUAAGUUGGGCACUCUAGUGAGACUGCCGGUGACAAACCGGAGGAAGGUGGGGACGACGUCAAAUCAUCAUGCCCCUUAUGACCUGGGCUACACACGUGCUACAAUGGAUGGUACAACGAGUCGCGAGACCGCGAGGUUAAGCUAAUCUCUUAAAACCAUUCUCAGUUCGGACUGUAGGCUGCAACUCGCCUACACGAAGUCGGAAUCGCUAGUAAUCGCGGAUCAGCAUGCCGCGGUGAAUACGUUCCCGGGCCUUGUACACACCGCCCGUCACACCAUGAGAGUUUGUAACACCCAAAGCCGGUGGGGUAACCUUUUA
rnacentral:rRNA from 1 species